AAGACGAUUCUCAGCAAUCAGACUGUCGACAUUCCAGAAAAUGUCCACAUCAUUCUGAAGGGAUGCACUGUUAUUGUGAAGUGCCCCAGAGGAACCCUGGGAAGGGACUUCAAUCACAUCAGUGUAGAACUCAGUCUUCCUGGAAAGAAAAAGAAGAGGCUCCAAGUUGACAAAUGGUGGGGAAAUAGAAAAGAACUGGCUACCGUUGUGUAGAGAAAGAGUG